UGGGGAAUAUUGGACAAUGGGGGCAACCCUGAUCCAGCCAUGCCGCGUGAGUGAUGAAGGCCUUCGGGUUGUAAAGCUCUUUUGGCAGGGACGAUGAUGACGGUACCCGCAGAAUAAGCUCCGGCUAACUUCGUGCCAGCAGCCGCGGUAAUACGAAGGGAGCUAGCGUUGUUCGGAGUUACUGGGCGUAAAGGGCGCGUAGGCGGUUUAGUAAGUCAGAUGUGAAAGCCCUGGGCUCAACCCAGGAAUUGCGUUUGAGACUGCUAAUCUUGAAUUCGGGAGAGGUGAGUGGAAUUCCCAGUGUAGAGGUGAAAUUCGUAGAGAUUGGGAAGAACACCCGUGGCGAAGGCGGCUCACUGGACCGACAUUGACGCUGUGGCGCGAAAGCGUGGGGAGCAAACA
rnacentral:rRNA from 1 species